CUGGCAGUCCCAAAGUGCUCACAGUGCAGGUAGUGCUGUUGGAUCUACUGCAUUGAGUGCACUUCACGUAUUGCCGG
rnacentral:pre_miRNA from 1 species